rnacentral:rRNA from 1 species
CAGUUCGGAUUGUAGUCUGCAACUCGACUACAUGAAGCUGGAAUCGCUAGUAAUCGCGAAUCAGAAUGUCGCGGUGAAUACGUUCCCGGGUCUUGUACACACCGCCCGUCACACCAUGGGAGUUGGGAAUGCCCAAAGCCGGUGACCUAACCGAAAGGGAGGAGCCGUCGAAGGCAGGCUUGAUAACUGGGGUGAAGUCGUAACAAGGUAGC